CAAUUUUAUACGAUAUAGACAAACUCCAACCAAAAGCAAAUAGAUUGUGCCCUAAUUUAAAUGAUUCUCAUGCUUUUUUGAAAAUUAAUAAUUUUCUAAGAAUAAGAGUAUCAUUGGCUACUCAAGUAUUUAGCAAGUCUGUUGCUCGUGCUCUCAGAUUUUACAAGUCAUAUGAAACCAGUUUAAAAAAUUGCGAAGCUACUGCUAAUUUUUACGAAAGAAUUAACGCUUUAAAAGGAGUCGCUAUAGAAACUGCCCUUAAACUCGAUUUUGAUGAUCUUAGGAUAUUGCACGAGAGUUUCGAGUGGUUUUUGACGCAUGAAACUGCAGAAGGGCUGAGGAUAACUCUGCAAACUACUUUGGACCUAGCAGCUUAUCUUCUUGGAGAAUUAAAAAUAGAAUAUGAUUUAAAAGAAAAGAAGAAUAGAAAGAAAUAAGAGUUUAUUUUGCAUUAGGGUUAUAAAGCGGAGACAAUGAAGCUCGCAGUGCGAGUGGAUUUAUAGAAGGUCAUAAUACAAAUUAUUAUUGUAAACUAUGUAAAAUGAGCAAAAACGAAAGUAAGAAAAAUCGUCCCAUUCGAAAGAAAUUGUUAAGAACUCCUGAGCAAUAUGAAGCUGAGGAUUUUAAAAAUCAAAACAAGGCUGGAGUAAAAGACAACUCGAUUUAGAAUCUAGUGCAUAUUUUUACAUUGUUCAAAAUUAUUUUGCGGAUAUAGCUCAUGAUCUGCUUAAGCGUGUUUGUAAGGACGACAUACAGGAUAUUUUGUACGUUUUAGUUUUGUAAAUAAAUCUUUAUGUCUAGACAACUUAAAUGAAAAGCUCAAAUCGUAUAAAUUAUGAAAAAAAUGGUUUCAGUAACAGGCGCAAUUAUCAGUUUAGGUUAGGUAACUUUCAAUAUUUUCGGUGGCUAAUACGAAUCCUAAAUACGAAAUAGUUACUAAAUUUUAAACUCUUUUAACAAAUGUUAAAAUUAUGUCUCGAAAGAAAUAUUCAGUGCACAAGUAUUUUUCUAAAUCAGCUGUUAAGGGAAAAAAUAAUAAGUCGACAAUAAAAGCGACAUGUAUUUAUUGCAAAUGGAUUUCAGUAAAUAAUACAACGCGGUUAACUAAACAUAUCAAAAUGUCCUUGAAGUGCCCUUCUGAAAUAAAGGAUUCAGUAAGUGGACCAUUAGAUGCCACUAAUGACAAGAAAACAUUUGAAAAUGCUGAAAAUGAUUCUACCUCUGGAGACUCUCGAAAUUGAAUUCAUAUUGACUGUCCAGUGAAAAAAAAAAUAAAAUUGAAUCAAUCAAUUGAAAAUUUCAUAAGUAGAGAUAAAACAGUAACUGUAGUGCAACAAGUACGUGUACAUUCUUCAUAUAAAUUUGAUAGUAAAAGUAAAUUAAUUUUGUAAGCGUACAUUAAUUAUGUUAUAUAUGAAUGUGUUUGUAAAAAGAAAUAAAUUUUGUAAGUGUUAAUU